GACGAACCGAGCGAACGUUAUUCGGAAUCACUGGGCUUAAAGGGCGCGUAGGCGGGCCGUCAAGUCAGGGGUGAAAGCCCCCAGCUCAACUGGGGAAGUGCCUUUGAUACUGACGGCCUCGAGGGAGAUAGGGGCGUGCGGAACUUCCGGUGGAGCGGUGAAAUGCGUAGAUAUCGGAAGGAACACCGGUGGCGAAAGCGGCGCGCUGGAUCUCUUCUGACGCUGAGGCGCGAAAGCCAGGG
rnacentral:rRNA from 1 species